rnacentral:lncRNA from 1 species
CUGAACUUACCGCUCCAUUUUGCAAGUGGAAGUUAGCAACAGAGUCCAAAGCUUUUCCUCUCUUCUUCUCCUGCAAGAGGUACCUAUUGGGAAAACCAAUACAAAACAUUAGAGUUUAUGCCUGUAUGAUUCAUGUUAACCAUUAGAUUUACAAGAAAUGAACAUACCUAGCACAUAACCGCAUAAGAAUAGGUUCUAAAACUGGCAAUAUACGAGGCGAAGUAGCCCAUUCGCAGUUUUUUUGUGAUAGCAAAUUCAGUAGAACUUCCAUGCCGUUGCUACCAGAAGAAGAAUCACUACAUAUACAAGAUCAUUGAUGAGUUGAUCCUUAGAAAAGUAUAUAAAUAAAAUUUGGUCAAUGAGUUUCUCCAGAAGCAUUGAAAACAAAAACAAAAAAAUCUUACUCUGAUAGGCUCAUGAGGGCUUGUUCCUCUUCUGGUAGUAAUACUUUCUCGCUGAAUGUAGAUGAAGGUGAAUUGCUCAGUGUACCACCGUGCUCACCUUCAGAAAAUCUUGACUGAGAUGAUAGCUUUGAGAGGAGCCAUUGCAUGUAUCCAGGAAUGGGGCUAAGUGUUGCAAAUGUCUGCAACCAAAAAACAUAUUGUUGAGCAAGCAGAUAAUCUCUUUUUUCCGGUAACACAUUCUGCAUACAAAUUAGUCUAAAUACUCACAGUAACAUGUGGCAUUUCUUUUUUCACCAACGUAAUCACUCGUUUGAUCAGAAAUUUACCAAGGUUUAUUCCAGCCAAACCGGGCUGCAAAUUGCAAUAAGAUAGGGGUCAGCGAGCACAAGAAUUCAACAGGGACUGG